CCUACAACCACCACCACUACAACCACUACAACUAAAGCUCCAACCACUACAACUGCUACAGCCACUACAACUAAAGCUCCAACCACUACGACUGCUAACACCACAACUGCCACAACCACUGCUCCAACCACUACUCCUACAACCACAACUGCUACAACCACUGCUCCAACCACAACUCCUACAACCACUGCUACAACCACAACAACUAAAGCUCCAACUACUAUGACUGCUACAACCACAACCGCUACAACCACUGCUCCAACCACAACUCCUACAACCACCACCACUACAACCACUACAACUAAAGCUCCAACCACUACAACUGCUACAACCACUACAGCUCCAACCACUACGACUGCUAAGACCACAACCACUACAACCACUGCUUCAACCACUACAACUAGUACCCCUUCAACAACUGAAGCCCCAUCUUUAAAUACAACAGUUUCUCAAAAUUCAACUACAAAUGUAUCAACACCUACCCCAGUUAAACCAACAACAACAACAACAACAAGAAUCCCAACUGUGGAGCAAACAGUGACAAGUGUGCUGACAUUUAGGUCUCCUGGAGAGAUCUUUACUAUUGAUUUGCUCAACCCGUCUUCAAUGGCAUUCAUAAACCGAGCUGCACUUUUAAAGUCCAUGCUUGAACCUCUCUACAGGCGAUUUUUUUCUUCGUUCAACGAUUUAACAGUGACUUCAUUCAG